GUAGGCAAGUUUCGGGGACAAAAC
rnacentral:miRNA from 1 species